CACAAAAGCCCUCACCUGUGGUAAGAGCAGCUUUGUUUGUUUGCACCCCUUGCUUCCUGAGCUGCGAAGGGCUGUGAGAGAUGGGGGAGUUAUAAAAAUCCGCUUCAGGAAAAACUGAGGCUUUCUGGUGAAUUUGAGCCAGAUCUCCAGGGAGGGAAGAUGGGCUUAGCAAGAUUCAUGUUGCUAGGAAGAUGCUGCCUGGCCAGAGGGAAAUUCAGGGAGCAGCACCAGGAGGAGUCAGUGGGGAAAUCAAAGGAUGAGUUUCAGGGGACAGGCUGAAAGAAGGAAGCAUGCAGAGCCUGGCUGGUGAGCAGCCCGCGUUUCUCAGCCUGACACCAGCUAGGCAAGAAGGGGAGCUGAGCGACUGGAGGGCAGCCUGGUGGGGAGGGGGACCCUAUGGAGCCCCCUCUGUUCAUCCUCACCCUGAUCCCACCUACACAGCUCCUGGGGAACACAAGGCAGGUGGCUCCCCAGCAUCUCACCCCACACAGAGGCUGGCCAUAUUCCCAGGCAGAGCAUUUGAAUUUUCACCUGUAACAAGAGAAAAGUUAGAGAGCAGCUUGCUGCUGCUGCAUUUCUUGAAUACGUAAGCACUGACAUGAGUCCUCCCAGAUUAUGGGUUUGCAGCUAUUUAGCUGCAGCCUGUCCUGAGCUGGCCCUGCUGGUAAGAAACAAGGCUCUGAAAGCACUGUUCUGCCCUGCCCAGAAGGGCUGGGGGCACUUGGCAGGGGACAGGUUGAGACCCUCCAGCAACUCUAAAUAAGCCCAUAAACACCUUGCAAAAAAUCAAGAUGAGAUGUAGGGGUCAGCAACAGACUGCGAUGACAGUCAAUAGAUAUUUGGAAGAGCUGGAAAAGACAGCAGCUAUCUUCAUUGAAGGGCACAGCACACUGAGCCUGGCUGCUGGGUGUCGUGCCAAGAUGCACGUUGGGGUGGCCCUGUGCCUGUGUGGCCCCUCUUGCAGGGCAAAGCCCCAGCCUGGGAGGUUUCUUGGCUACGUAGUGCACGUGCCAGAAUAUAAUGGCCAGCAGCCGUGAUGUAUUUCAGUGUUCAUUGCUAAGUGGUUCUGCCUAGAAAAUUGACUUGAAAAUGUGUUUCAGGAUGUGCCAGAUAUUCUCAUGCUAAUUUCUCAGCCAAAACCUCCCAUGUGGUGUCCAAUGUGAUAUCAGUAACUCAAAGGCAGGGGAAAAUGAAGCCUCUAUCUGCUUUCAAGCAAUUUAUUCUCCUUUUGUCUUUUUACUUCCAGCAGCUAAGUAAAUUACAGGGAUUAAAAUACAAAAGACAUUUAAUUUUUUAACUGUAAUUUCUUAGCUCCUGGCAACAGAGUAACAAAAAAUGAAAGGAAAUUAAGAAAAAAAAUAAAAUGCAAAUACCAUUUCUAAUGAUUAAAAUACAAAUACAAUUUUAACUGAUUAAAAGUAAGAGGACCUGUUGGAACACAAAGAGACAGCAGCAGGCUUCAGGAUUCAAGUAGCCAUAAUCAGCUUCAACUUCACAUUAAAAACCUGAAGGGGGAAAUUUCUGCUGGGAGCAAUCAGUUCCCUGCAGUUUUCACUUUGUGAGGACAAGAACCAUGCUCCUUUAGCUCUCCUGCCACAGAGAGGCAAUGUUCAUCCCUUGGUCUUCACAUUAUCCUUCUCUUCUCUUGGACUGAACUGAAUUUACCUGCCCCAAGUCUUCCCAGGACAGACUGGGAGUAUGAUUGCAGUCUGGCUGAACCCAGGUGCCAAGAACACAGCUGCAAAAGCAAAGGCCAAGCCAACCACAGCAGUGAGGUCGAGCAGGGAGGUGAAGCUCCCAGCAGACGUGUGCUGGACGAAAAAACUGAUUGUGGUGGUUAUGUGAAAAUACAGACAAAAAAAAAAAAAAAAAAAAAAAAAAAAAAAAGCCAGCACUUGUUUAAUUAACAACAUCUGGCUGCCCUGCCUUUCCUCAUCUUCUUUCCACAUCACAUUUCUCCGCAUUCUCCAUCCUGACCCAUAUCCUUCCCACAUCCUACAUGUACCUGUCCCACCUCUCCUUCUCCUGCCUCUCUUGUCUUACUUAAAGUCAUGCCUCCAUGCUGGACUCUACGGGGAGGUUGGUCAGAGCUCAGCAAAGAGGUUGCUGUCUCAAAAAGCAUCCCCAGCAGCCACCAAAUAUUCUGAGGACAGGUAAAGAAGAGCUUUAAAUUGAUUUAAACUGCUAGUUGGGCUUAUCAGCUGCCAGGGGCUCUGUGUGGGCUCCUACUUUCUGGCAAAUCCCCUCCCACUCCCACCAAAAUCCACAGGUCCUCAAUUUGUUCCAUGCAACCUUGGCUCAAACCAAAAGUAUGAGUGAAAAUUGUCUUAUGACACUCAAGCAAACAAGGUAUGUACAUGUAAGAAUGAGUUCAGCUCCCGAAAUGCAGACCCCUAAUCCAGUCUUGGCCCUGUCAGAUUGAUCCUCCCUGGAUUCCCCAUCUCCCACUGCUGUAUUUCCCUCUCAUGGCACCCAGCAAGAGCGAGAACCUGGAGAAGCUGGUUUCUGUGGCAACUUUAAAAAUCACCCUCUGGAUGAUCCUGGAGUUACACAUCUUCCUCUCAUCGAAAGGACCAGGCCCAUUAAACAGAAGGGAUAAUGGACAGUCAUAAAUUGCUGUAUGUUGCAGUAGUCCCUCUUGCUGCCUGGGAGAUGCAUUUGUCACCUAGCAACGACACAAGGUGAUGAGGAAAUAACAGAUUUUUAAUCUAAUGGCCCUGAGUCAACAGCUAUCAGAGACCAGCCUGCAAGGUCCACUGAUGAGGUGGACGUAAUUGGUUGAGAAGGAAGGAGAAACCCAACCCAAGGAGAAGGGAGUAGGGGCUGCCUUUUAUAAACAUAUAUACAUGUGUAUGUAUAUAUAUACAUAUAUAUGUGUGUGUAUGUAUAGGUAUGUAUAUCCUCACAAAAUGACAAAAAGUCUGGAGAAAAUCCCUCAGACGAGAAAUAACCCUCGGACACAAGGCUACCCAGAAGACGAGUCUCUGGGCUUUGCAAAGCCCCAAAGGCAGAAGGCAGAGGAUGAGGCAGGAGGGGUCACAGCCUCCCAUGGGUUUUGGUGCAGAGCUCCUCUCAGCUUUGUGUCAGGUCCUUGUCUGCUCAUCUGAAACCUCUGUAUGGGACGGACCAACGGAAAACUUCAAAGUUUGCCCCUGGGUCAGGAAACUGGAUAGUGGCAGAGUUCAAGUCUCACCUUUUUAUUCUAGAAGUAGACCCAGAACAGAAGCUAUGCGUUAUUUUUCAGUAUUAAGAGCUCACUGUGAUAACUUCCCCCCUAAAUACUGGGGAUGAUGCAUGGGGCAGCAGGAAAUUGGAAGCUCUCUAGGUGCUGGCACCGGUGCAUUGAUAGAGGCAUCUCACUGGAGCACAGGAGGGAGCUUCAAGGGAAUUAAUUGUGAUUGGAAGAAAUCUGAAAGUAGUGCACUGACGGAUGAUCUCUUUGAAGCUUGAAAUUGUAAGAGUCAGAAGGUUCCCAGCAAGGCUGUGCACAUUUUUAUACAGCAGGAUCUUUUUCUUUUAAGAAAACAGCUAAGAAAUUGGUUUGGCAUUUCCCUCUUGAACAAAAUUGAAAAGGACUGGUCUGAACCAGGACACCAACAUGUUCAGACCAUUUAUAUUGUGUAGUGCAUCCACUUAGCAACAGCAUAAGAGGUGCUUUCUCAGAAGGCAUCGUUUCAGAGACUUGCCUUUAAUUAACAGUGAGUUGAAAUACACGUUUGAGAAGAACAGGGUAUGGACUGUCUGUAUUCAAAACUUUAACAAUAAAUAAGAAACCUGGCUUAAGCAUGUAUCCAAGUUGGUUAGAGUUCUUGACCUCUUAGCUGAAGAAAAACCAUGGAGACAGGCCUCCAGAUCAACUUAGCUUUGUCAAUCAUUACUGAAUUAAUAGCACCACGACAUAAUGCUUAACUUCUGGAGCGACAGCUAAACAUAUUCACAGCAACACCCUUUGUGUUAAACCUGGAAGAACCGUAGCUAAUGAUGCAUCUCCGCCAAGGGCUGUAUACUUCUGCAACAAUCUAUUACUGACUGCCGAACACACUGAGAUCAUCCACACUUCGUGGUGAUCAGAGGUAUGGUGCAAGUGGUCUUCCACCCCAGCUUUAACUUCAUCGCCUGGGCAUAGCUAUAAGUCAGGAUGAAAUCAG